AUGGACGCUGGAGGAGCUCAAGUCCUGCGCCGCCUCCCCAGAGGAGCUCAAGUCCUACGCCGCCUCACUGGUGCUCGCCACUCUCAUCUAGGCACUGGAUCUGGUCGCGGACCAUCGGACCCCACCCUUCGAUGCGGUGAGGGCCAUCCCUGCCGCCGCUCCUCGAGGCGGGAGGUGGUGCGACGUCGACGGAUGGGGCAGGGCCGGCGCCGGCGGGCGAGGCUGUGGUCGGGGCCGGCGGGAGAGGCGGUAGACGAGGCCGACGGGAGAGGCGGUGGCCGGGGCCGCUGGGCGAGGUGGUGGCCGGGGACAGGGUGA
rnacentral:rRNA from 1 species